rnacentral:rRNA from 2 species
CACCAAAAUGCACAGGCUGUGAACUCGAAGAGUAGGGCGGGACACGUGGUAUCCUGUCUGAAUAUGGGGGGACCAUCCUCCAAGGCUAAAUACUCCUGACUGACCGAUAGUGAACCAGUACCGUGAGGGAAAGGCGAAAAGAACCCCGGCGAGGGGAGUGAAAAAGAACCUGAAACCGUGUACGUACAAGCAGUGGGAGCACCUUCAUGGUGUGACUGCGUACCUUUUGUAUAAUGGGUCAGCGACUUAUAUUCUGUAGCAAGGUUAACCGUAUAGGGGAGCCGCAGGGAAACCGAGUCUUAACUGGGCGUUAAGUUGCAGGGUAUAGACCCGAAACCCGGUGAUCUAGCCAUGGGCAGGUUGAAGGUUGGGUAACACUAACUGGAGGACCGAACCGACUAAUGUUGAAAAAUUAGCGGAUGACUUGUGGCUGGGGGUGAAAGGCCAAUCAAACCGGGAGAUAGCUGGUUCUCCCCGAAAGCUAUUUAGGUAGCGCCUCGUGAACUCAUCUUCGGGGGUAGAGCACUGUUUCGGCUAGGGGGUCAUCCCGACUUACCAACCCGAUGCAAACUACGAAUACCGAAGAAUGUUAUCACGGGAGACACACGGCGGGUGCUAACGUCCGUCGUGAAGAGGGAAACAACCCAGACCGCCAGCUAAGGUCCCAAAGUCAUGGUUAAGUGGGAAACGAUGUGGGAAGGCACAGACAGCCAGGAUGUUGGCUUAGAAGCAGCCAUCAUUUAAAGAAAGCGUAAUAGCUCACUGGUCGAGUCGGCCUGCGCGGAAGAUGUAACGGGGCUAAACCAUGCACCGAAGCUGCGGCAGCGACACUAUGUGUUGUUGGGUAGGGGAGCGUUCUGUAAGCCUGCGAAGGUGGCCUGUGAGGGUUGCUGGAGGUAUCAGAAGUGCGAAUGCUGACAUAAGUAACGAUAAAGCGGGUGAAAAGCCCGCUCGCCGGAAGACCAAGGGUUCCUGUCCAACGUUAAUCGGGGCAGGGUGAGUCGACCCCUAAGGCGAGGCCGAAAGGCGUAGUCGAUGGGAAACAGGUUAAUAUUCCUGUACUUGGUGUUACUGCGAAGGGGGGACGGAGAAGGCUAUGUUAGCCGGGCGACGGUUGUCCCGGUUUAAGCAUGUAGGCGGAGGUUCCAGGUAAAUCCGGUACCUUUUAACGCUGAGGUGUGAUGACGAGGCACUACGGUGCUGAAGUAACAAAUGCCCUGCUUCCAGGAAAAGCCUCUAAGCAUCAGGUAACAUUAAAUCGUACCCCAAACCGACACAGGUGGUCAGGUAGAGAAUACCAAGGCGCUUGAGAGAACUCGGGUGAAGGAACUAGGCAAAAUGGUGCCGUAACUUCGGGAGAAGGCACGCUGGUGUGUAGGUGAAGUCCCUGCGGACGGAGCUGAGACCAGUCGAAGAUACCAGCUGGCUGCAACUGUUUAUUAAAAACACAGCACUGUGCAAACACGAAAGUGGACGUAUACGGUGUGACGCCUGCCCGGUGCCGGAAGGUUAAUUGAUGGGGUUAUCCGUAAGGAGAAGCUCUUGAUCGAAGCCCCGGUAAACGGCGGCCGUAACUAUAACGGUCCUAAGGUAGCGAAAUUCCUUGUCGGGUAAGUUCCGACCUGCACGAAUGGCGUAAUGAUGGCCAGGCUGUCUCCACCCGAGACUCAGUGAAAUUGAACUCGCUGUGAAGAUGCAGUGUACCCGCGGCAAGACGGAAAGACCCCGUGAACCUUUACUAUAGCUUGACACUGAACAUUGAGCCUUGAUGUGUAGGAUAGGUGGGAGGCUUUGAAGCGUGGACGCCAGUCUGCGUGGAGCCAACCUUGAAAUACCACCCUUUAAUGUUUGAUGUUCUAACGUUGGCCCCUGACCGGGGUUGCGGACAGUGUCUGGUGGGUAGUUUGACUGGGGCGGUCUCCUCCCAAAGAGUAACGGAGGAGCACGAAGGUUAGCUAAUCCUGGUCGGACAUCAGGAGGUUAGUGCAAUGGCAUAAGCUAGCUUGACUGCGAGCGUGACGGCGCGAGCAGGUGCGAAAGCAGGUCAUAGUGAUCCGGUGGUUCUGAAUGGAAGGGCCAUCGCUCAACGGAUAAAAGGUACUCCGGGGAUAACAGGCUGAUACCGCCCAAGAGUUCAUAUCGACGGCGGUGUUUGGCACCUCGAUGUCGGCUCAUCACAUCCUGGGGCUGAAGUAGGUCCCAAGGGUAUGGCUGUUCGCCAUUUAAAGUGGUACGCGAGCUGGGUUUAGAACGUCGUGAGACAGUUCGGUCCCUAUCUGCCGUGGGCGCUGGAGAAUUGAGGGGGGCUGCUCCUAGUACGAGAGGACCGGAGUGGACGCAUCACUGGUGUUCGGGUUGUCAUGCCAAUGGCACUGCCCGGUAGCUAAAUGCGGAAGAGAUAAGUGCUGAAAGCAUCUAAGCACGAAACUUGCCCCGAGAUGAGUUCUCCCUGAGACUUUAAGUCUCCUGAAGGAACGUUGAAGACGACGACGUUGAUAGGCCGGGUGUGUAAGCGCAGCGAUGCGUUGAGCUAACCGGUACUAAUGAACCGUGAGGCUUAACCUU